GCUUCCCCGAGCUCUGAGCUGGAGCAGACCCUUCCAGCGGAGCCCUACAACAACACCAUGCCUCAAGAGAUGAACGGAGCCUCCUCAGACAACCCCCUGAUGAGCUCCCUGCUGCCCGGGCCGCCGCCCCAGGCCGUGCAGCUGAUGCCUCCAGCCCCAACUACCAUCCUCCAAGACGGCAUGGUUCCACAGCACCACCCAUCAGAGGUCCACCAGUUCUACCCCGUGCCCCCCGGCCCGGCCGCAGGCUACCUACCGCAGGUCCCCGACUCCGGCCCCUCUCCCUACGAGCCUCAGCAGCCCCAGCCCUCGGACAUGUACCCUCCACCUCUCCAGCAGCAGCCCAGCUCCUCGCCCCCUCACCCGGGACACAUGGGCUCUCACAUGCCUCCCCAGAUGAACCAACAACCUCCCCAUCAGAUGAACCAACAACCUCCCCAUCAGAUGAACCAACAACCUCCCCAUCUGAUGAACCAACAUCCUCCCCCCAGAUGCACCAACAACCUCCCCCAGAUGAACCAACAUCCUCCCCCAGAUGCACCAACAACCUCCCCCCCAGAUGAACCAACAACCUCCCGAUCAGAUGAAUCAACAACCUCCCCAUCCGAUGAACCAACAACCUCCCCAUCCGAUGAACCAACAACCUCCCCAUCAGAUGAACCAACAACCUCCCCAUCAGAUGAACCAACAACCUCCCCAUCUGAUGAACCAACAACCUCCCCAUCAGAUGAACCAACAACCUCCCCAUCAGAUGAACCAACAACCUCCCCAUCUGAUGAACCAAC
ensembl:lncRNA